rnacentral:pre_miRNA from 1 species
AGCUUUCUGAAUCCGUGCAGAGAUUUUGUCACACGCCAACCUAUUAGAGCUGAUCAGACUUACAAGAUAAGUGAAGUU